rnacentral:misc_RNA from 1 species
ACUCUAAGUUUACAAAUGAGUAUCGUUCAGUUAGAAAAGAUACAAAUCUUAUUAUGGGACAGUGGCAUGCAGCAGAUGAAUAUGAUGGUAAAGUGAGAGAGAUAACAUUCAGGUCUCUAUGUAAUAGUCCCAUGUGUCCCCCAGACACAGCUAUGACAGAAUAUCAGCAUUCUGUACUAUCACCAGAUAAGAAAAUGCUUGUGUUUGAAACAGUACAACAGGCCCAUGAUGUUCCCUUUGGAUCUUAUUUUGAGGUUCAUUGCCGGUGGAGAGUGGAGACCAAUGGUGAGAACUCCUCUACAAUAGAUAUAAAAGUGGGUGCACAAUUCAAGAAGUGGUGUGUGAUGCAAUCCAAAAUUAAGGCAGGAGCAAUCAAUGAAUAUAAGAAAGAGGUGGAGUUGAUGCUAGAAAUGGCACAGUCGCGUAUCAGAUCACUUUUUUACGGCAGCGAGGCUGACGAGGCUUCUUCCUCCCCCAUUGUAAUACAAGAUAGCAGCUGACAACCUCGGCAUUUUCAGUUGAGUUAUUCUUUCUUUGCUUAAAUGUUUUUAAAUUUUUGACAUGUAGAGCCAGCCUCCAUGUUCCUUUGUGACGGCAAUAGCCAAUAGGUGUAAAUCUUGUG